AUUUUUAAAUUUUAACUCAUAUUUUAAUUAAAAAAGUUGAAAAAAUAAAUUUAAUCCGAAUAAAUAUCCAUUCCGUCCGGAUUCAACUUUUAAUCCGACCUCCCGGAUUGAAAAAAGAGGAAAUUGGGGAAUUCUCAUUCCACUCGGGAAUCGGAAUCGGAAUGGGACUCCCGCGUACCAAACAUUUACAAACAGAUUUGCCCAUUUCAAUUCCGAUUUCAGGGUGAAAAAGAAGCGAACCAAACACGUUCUUAAUGCCUAUAAUAAUAAUGAACAAAGUG
rnacentral:lncRNA from 1 species